rnacentral:rRNA from 1 species
CACUAUCAUUACCUGAAUACAUAGGGUAAUGAAGCGAACCGGGAGAACUGAAACAUCUAAGUACCCGAGGAAAAGAAAUCAAACGAGAUUCCCCCAGUAGCGGCGAGCGAACGGGGAGCAGCCCAGGACCUUAAUCAGCAUCAGUGUUAAGAGAACAGUCUGGAAAGGCUGGCCACAGCAGGUGAUAGCCCUGUAUCUGAAAGCACUGGUGUUGUGAGUCCGAUGAGUAAGGCGGGACACGUGUUAUCCUGUCUGAAUACGGGGGGACCAUCCUCCAAGGCUAAAUACUCCUGACUGACCGAUAGUGAACCAGUACCGUGAGGGAAAGGCGAAAAGAACCCCGGCGAGGGGAGUGAAAAAGAACCUGAAACCGUGUACGUACAAGCAGUGGGAGCACCUUUAUGGUGUGACUGCGUACCUUUUGUAUAAUGGGUCAGCGACUUAUAUUCUGUAGCAAGGUUAACCGAAUAGGGGAGCCGCAGGGAAACCGAGUCUUAACUGGGCGAAUUAGUUGCAGGGUAUAGACCCGAAACCCGGUGAUCUAGCCAUGGGCAGGUUGAAGGUUGGGUAACACUAACUGGAGGACCGAACCGACUAAUGUUGAAAAAUUAGCGGAUGACUUGUGGCUGGGGGUGAAAGGCCAAUCAAACCGGGAGAUAGCUGGUUCUCCCCGAAAGCUAUUUAGGUAGCGCCUCGUGAAUUCAUCUCCGGGGGUAGAGCACUGUUUCGGCUAGGGGGUCAUCCCGACUUACCAACCCGAUGCAAACUGCGAAUACCGGAGAAUGUUAUCACGGGAGACACACGGCGGGUGCUAACGUUCGUCGUGAAGAGGGAAACAACCCAGACCGCCGGCUAAGGUCCCAAAGUCAUAAUUAAGUGGGAAACGAAGUGGGAAGGCUCAGACAGCCAGGAUGUUGGCUUAGAAGCAGCCAUCAUUUAAAGAAAGCGUAAUAGCUCACUGGUCGAGUCGGCCUGCGCGGAAGAUGUAACGGGGCUAAAUUAUGCACCGAAGCCGCGGCAGCGAUAUGUAAAUAUUGUUGGGUAGGGGAGCGUUCUGUAAGCCUGUGAAGGUGUGCUGUGAGGCAUGCUGGAGGUAUCAGAAGUGCGAAUGCUGACAUAAGUAACGAUAAUGCGGGUGAAAAACCCGCACGCCGGAAGACCAAGGGUUCCUGUCCAACGUUAAUCGGGGCAGGGUGAGUCGACCCCUAAGGCGAGGCUGAAAAGCGUAGUCGAUGGGCAACGGGUUAAUAUUCCCGUACUGGUGGUAACUGCGAAGGGGGGACGGAGAAAGCUAAAUCAUCCGGGCGACGGUUGUCCCGGUUUAAGCGUGCAGGUGGACUGACCAGGCAAAUCCGGUCGGUUGUUAACACUGAGGCGUGACGACGAGCCACUACGGUGGUGAAGUGAUUGAUGCUCUGCUUCCGGGAAAAGCCUCUAAGCUCCAGGUUACCAUUAAUCGUACCCCAAACCGACACAGGUGGUCAGGUAGAGAAUACUCAGGCGCUUGAGAGAACUCGGGUGAAGGAACUAGGCAAAAUGGUGCCGUAACUUCGGGAGAAGGCACGCUGGCACUAGGUGAAGUGGUUUACCCAUGGAGCUGAAGCCAGCCGCAGAUACCAGCUGGCUGCAACUGUUUAUUAAAAACACAGCACUGUGCAAACACGAAAGUGGACGUAUACGGUGUGACGCCUGCCCGGUGCCGGAAGGUUAAUUGAUGAGGUUAGCGCAAGCGAAGCUUCUGAUCGAAGCCCCGGUAAACGGCGGCCGUAACUAUAACGGUCCUAAGGUAGCGAAAUUCCUUGUCGGGUAAGUUCCGACCUGCACGAAUGGCGUAAUGAUGGCCAGGCUGUCUCCACCCGAGACUCAGUGAAAUUGAACUCGCUGUGAAGAUGCAGUGUACCCGCGGCAAGACGGAAAGACCCCGUGAACCUUUACUAUAGCUUGACACUGAACAUUGAGCCUUGAUGUGUAGGAUAGGUGGGAGGCAACGAAGUGUGGACGCCAGUCUGCACGGAGCCAUCCUUGAAAUACCACCCUUUAACGUUUGAUGUUCUAACCCAGACCCGUAAUCCGGGUCGGGGACCGUGUCUGGUGGGUAGUUUGACUGGGGCGGUCUCCUCCCAAAGAGUAACGGAGGAGCACGAAGGUUGGCUAAGCAUGGUCGGACAUCAUGCGGUUAGUGCAAAGGCAUAAGCCAGCUUGACUGCGAGAGUGACGGCUCGAGCAGGUACGAAAGUAGGUCUUAGUGAUCCGGUGGUUCUGAAUGGAAGGGCCAUCGCUCAACGGAUAAAAGGUACUCCGGGGAUAACAGGCUGAUACCGCCCAAGAGUUCAUAUCGACGGCGGUGUUUGGCACCUCGAUGUCGGCUCAUCACAUCCUGGGGCUGAAGUAGGUCCCAAGGGUAUGGCUGUUCGCCAUUUAAAGUGGUACGCGAGCUGGGUUUAGAACGUCGUGAGACAGUUCGGUCCCUAUCUGCCGUGGGCGCUGGAAGAUUGAGAGGGGUUGCUCCUAGUACGAGAGGACCGGAGUGAACGCACCACUGGUGUACGGGUUGUGAUGCCAAUUGCAUUGCCCGGUAGCUAAGUGCGGAAGAGAUAACCGCUGAAAGCAUCUAAGCGGGAAACUUGCCUCGAGAUGAGUCUUCCCUGACCCUUUAAGGGUCCUGAAGGAACGUUUGAGACUAAGACGUUGAUAGGCUGGGUGUGUAAGUGCAGCGAUGUAUUGAGCUAACCAGUACUAAUGAACCGAGAGGCUUAACCUG